GCCAUCCUAGCUCAGUUGGUAGAGCAGCUGUUUCGUAAAUAGCAGGUCGUGGGUUCGAGCCCCAUGGUUGGCU
rnacentral:tRNA from 2 species